UGCUGCUGCUCAGUCGUCGAUCUUCACAGGAAGUGAAUCUGAGGUCCCAGGAGCAAGGGACUGAGAGGAAAUCCAUAUGGAGGCUUCCUCACCUCUUGUUACUUUCUCCCACUGGUUGAGAUUGUCCCUGGAGAUGCAAAAAAAGUCAGAGAUGAAUCAACUCCUAAAGAAGUCAGCAGGGGCCAGGUCUGUAGCGAUGAUGGCUUUCCGGAUGAUCUCAAGUACUUGCUCAUAUUCGCUGGAGCUCAGAUUGGAGAAGACAUUGUGCCCUUCCAGCUAUGAAAAAGUAAAAAACCAAUAAAAAGCACAAGCUCUAAUUCUGAGAUGAUUUCAGUCUUUACUUCACCAGACAGGUUACAACAGUUGAACAGCGCAAAGACAAAUCUUUACUGCAAGUUCAAAUGCUGAGAGGCCUGAAAUUCCCAUUUUUAUCACUCCAUUCAAAAUGACAUCCUGCGACUAAGCCACUGAUUUGGUUUUGGG